UACGUAGGGGGCUAGCGUUGUCCGGAAUCAUUGGGCGUAAAGCGCGUGUAGGCGGUUCGGUAAGUCCGCUGUGAAAGUCGGGGGCUCGACCCUCGGAUGCCGGUGGAUACUGUCGGACUAGAGUACGGAAGAGGCGAGUGGAAUUCCUGGUGUAGCGGUGAAAUGCGCAGAUAUCAGGAGGAACACCAAUUGCGAAGGCAGCUCGCUGGGACGUUACUGACGCUGAGACGCGAAAGCGUGGGGAGCAAACAGG
rnacentral:rRNA from 1 species